UAUACAAUUCUAAUUCAGUUCUAUAGUAAUUAGGGUAGACAAUUCUAAUUCAGUUCUAUAGUAAUUAGGGGUAGACAAUUCUAAUUCAGCUCUAUAGUAAUUAGGGGUAGACAAUUCUAAUUCAGCUCUAUAGUAAUUAGGGUAGACAAUUCUAAUUCAGCUCUAUAGUAAUUAGGGGUAGACAAUUCUAAUUCAGCUCUAUAGUAAUUAGGGGUAGACAAUUCUAAUUCAGUUCUAUAGUAAUUAGGGGUAGACAAUUCUAAUUCAGUUCUAUAGUAAUUAGGGGUAGACAAUUCUAAUUCAGUUCUAUAGUAAUUAGGGGUAGACAAUUCUAAUUCAGCUCUAUAGUAAUUAGGGGUAUACAAUUCUAAUUCAGCUCUAUAGUAAUUAGGGGUAGACAAUUCUAAUUCAGCUCUAUAGUAAUUAGGGGUAUACAAUUCUAAUUCAGUUCUAUAGUAAUCAGGGGUAGACAAUUCUAAUUCAGUUCUAUAGUAAUUAGGCGUAGACAAUUCUAAUUCAGCUCUAUAGUAAUUAGGGGUAGACAAUUCAUAUUUCAUUUUAUAAUUACCAGGUGUAGAAAAUUCUGAUUUCACAUAUUAGAAAAGUAGUCAGGUGUUCUAAUAAUAAUAAUAAUAAUAAUAAAUUUAAAAUCUGGUUUUCUUUGAUAUUAAUCAGGUGUAGAAUUCAAAUUUUGUUGGCCCUAUUAAUUUCAAAUUCAGAUACACCUUUUUAAAGCAUUUUAAAUGUCAUUUUAGCCGAUGAUGAGGUGUUUUAGUUCAUUUGAACCUGAAGAUUUGCGC
ensembl:lncRNA